AUUGAACGCUGGCGGCAGGCCUAACACAUGCAAGUCGAACGGUAACAGAAAGCAGCUUGCUGCUUUGCUGACGAGUGGCGGGCGGGUGAGUAAUGUCUGGGAAACUGCCUGAUGGAGGGGGAUAACUACUGGAAACGGUAGCUAAUACCGCAUAACGUCGCAAGACCAAAGAGGGGGACCUUCGGGCCUCUUGCCAUCGGAUGUGCCCAGAUGGGAUUAGCUAGUAGGUGGGGUAACGGCUCACCUAGGCGACGAUCCCUAGCUGGUCUGAGAGGAUGACCAGCCACACUGGAACUGAGACACGGUCCAGACUCCUACGGGAGGCAGCAGUGGGGAAUAUUGCACAAUGGGCGCAAGCCUGAUGCAGCCAUGCCGCGUGUAUGAAGAAGGCCUUCGGGUUGUAAAGUACUUUCAGCGGGGAGGAAGGGAGUAAAGUUAAUACCUUUGCUCAUUGACGUUACCCGCAGAAGAAGCACCGGCUAACUCCGUG
rnacentral:rRNA from 1 species